rnacentral:rRNA from 1 species
AACGAACGCUGGCGGCAGGCCUAACACAUGCAAGUCGAGCGCGCCCUUCGGGGUGAGCGGCGGACGGGUGAGUAACGCGUGGGAACGUGCCCUUUUCUACGGAAUAGCCUCGGGAAACUGAGAGUAAUACCGUAUACGCCCUUUGGGGAAAGAUUUAUCGGAAAAGGAUCGGGCCGCGUUGGAUUAGGUAGUUGGUGGGGUAAUGGCCUACCAAGCCGACGAUCCAUAGCUGGUUUGAGAGGAUGAUCAGCCACACUGGGACUGAGACACGGCCCAGACUCCUACGGGAGGCAGCAGUGGGGAAUCUUAGACAAUGGGGGCAACCCUGAUCUAGCCAUGCCGCGUGAGUGAUGAAGGCCUUAGGGCUGUAAAGCUCUUUCAGCUGGGAAGAUAAUGACGGUACCAGCAGAAGAAGCCCCGGCUAACUCCGUG